GACGAACGCUGGCGGCGUGCUUAACACAUGCAAGUCGAACGGAAAGGCCCUGCUUGCAGGGUACUCGAGUGGCGAACGGGUGAGUAACACGUGGGUGAUCUGCCCUGCACUCCGGGAUAAGCCUGGGAAACUGGGUCUAAUACCGGAUAGGAGCCAUUUUUAGUGUGAUGGUUGGAAAGUUUUUUCGGUGUAGGAUGAGCUCGCGGCCUAUCAGCUUGUUGGUGGGGUAGUGGCCUACCAAGGCGGCGACGGGUAGCCGGCCUGAGAGGGUGGACGGCCACAUUGGGACUGAGAUACGGCCCAGACUCCUACGGGAGGCAGCAGUGGGGAAUAUUGCACAAUGGGCGCAAGCCUGAUGCAGCGACGCCGCGUGGGGGAUGACGGCCUUCGGGUUGUAAACUCCUUUCGCUAGGGACGAAGCUUUUUGUGACGGUACCUAGAUAAGAAGCACCGGCUAACUACGUG
rnacentral:rRNA from 1 species